AGUUGUGUGUUUCUUACAAAGAAAACUGCAGCAAAAAAUUUUAAAUUGUUUACUCUUUUUAUUUAGGUUUAGAUUUGGGAUAAGAGGGAGAAAACCUUAACAGAACAAAGGAGUUGUUGAUGUUAUGCCCAGUUAUCCAGAUAGGGUCAUGAUAGGCCUCAUGGUGGCCUGAGAGCAAAACAGACUACUUUGAGAAAUAAUUUGCCAGCAGUCUUCUUCAUUUCUGAAGCAUAUCUCCUCAAAGAGUUUUCUUGAAGAUGAUACAUAACUUGGGCAGGAAACGAUCUAUCCGAGGUUAAAAGUCACACUGCAGGUGACUGUGAAGGAGAAAGUGGAAUCCUCAGCUCCGUCUCUGCUUGACUUGAUCAUAUAAGCUUAAUAUAAACAGCCCUGAGAAACAGGAAAAGGGUUAUACUCCAGGGACAGAAGUUAACAAAGGACACCGCUCAUGUGCUGCAGUAAACAGCCUACCAUUUUUCAUAUGGACUGAAAUCAAGGCAAACAAGUUUUACAGAGCUUGACUGAAGUGGGUGCAUGUGAUGGAUGUUGACCAGAACUUGGAUUAGAGAAGACUGGGGAUCAAAGCCCUGGACAAGCUGCAGUGGAUACCUUGGCUUGAGGAUCACCAGCGCAGAAUUUGACUCCUGUUCGUCUUUGAAUUUGUAGCUGGCAUAAUCCAGUGGGGCAGGAAGCAACUUGGGGAUUCAGACAUUUGCUUAUUUCUCCUUCUUGGGUGAAUUCCUAAGCGUGGCAUCGCCAGGUUGUAUGAUAGAUCAACUUUAAAAUGCAACUAAAAUGAUCCAUUCAACUGAGAAGAACCCCACACCCCUUCACCCCCACCCAGUACCCAGCAAGCUAGUUCCCUGAGCCUCCAGCCUGGAUGGAGCAAGUCUACCCUCCUGCUUCUCUGCUUCGUCUCCUUACUGCGGUUGCUGUGGGGCUCUCACGGCUGCGAACACACGUGACCCAGGAGGAAACGAGUCCUUAAUCUACGUUCCACACAGGGCAGCUCCACUCAGGAAUCAUUAAUCCCGUGCUCACAAGGUCUCUUCUUGAGCAGUGGAGGAGGAGGAGGAGGAGGAUGCCUUCCAGUCCCCCAGGGCCAUCUUGCAGAGGACAGUGGCUACUGCUGGACCAGGUCCUUCCCUGAGGGCACACUGCAGAGCCAAGAAGCCGCAUUCCUGUGUUGGGGGAAGUGGCCAAAGGAGACCCUUCCAAAGCCAGAGACUGAGGCUACAAGAAUGCAGCAGAGGCCAGCUGGGCAGAGAGGACCAAUUCCAGGAUAAUCAUCAAUGCUACUCCUCUCAGGGCCACUGGCUCACUGACAGGGGUGUGUGGCCUCUCAGCAUACCACAGGUGACACAAGGAGGGGAGGAGAGGUGCCAGCCCUGGGGACUCAACACCUGUGAAGUGUCUGAACCACUUACAUGCCCACAUGCAAAACUUGUUCCUAUCUCUCCCCAAGCCAACAAAAGUCCAUGCCUUCCUCUCCUGCACUGUAUGUGGGAUGCAUGGGAUCUCGUCAGUAGUUUCAUGCAGUUGGGGCUCGUCUUUGUUCUCCUCAUCUGUCCCUCUCCAGCCUCAACGUCCAUGGUACCUCCCCACUGAGUCCCCACAACAGACUCUCUUAACGUGCUUUUGCAUGUCAAAUAUCUCUGCCAUUUAAUUAAAAAACAAAAAACAAAAAACAAAAACAGUUAAUAUCACAAAGGACUCCAGAAAUACAUGCUUUUGAAUUCCAGCCACAGAGAAGACAAGAGGAGACACUGGCAUCUGCAGAUAUGGCUGCUUUCCAUAAGAAAGGUUCGUGCAGUGAGACCAGCCCAGCUCCUCAGCCCAUGUGAGAACACAUACCCCACCACACAAGGGCUGAGGGACAGUGUCUUUGGUUGGCUGGGGCUUCAUCCAGAGCUCAUUGGAAGGUGGCGUGGCAAGAAGGGGAAGUCUUCCUGCAGCCCCCUUACGAGGGCGACAAAGGCAGGGAGUACAUGAGGAGGCAUUUAAGCUUUGCUAGCCUCCCGCCGCCUCUUAGGCUACAGGACUCGUUACUGCAACCUAAUACAGAAUAGGUUGAUGAUUUGAACUUGGAUCUCACAGUAGCCCAGUGACACAUCAGCAGCCAUAAUGCGGACGUCAGCAGGAG